rnacentral:rRNA from 1 species
UACGAAGGGGGGCUAGCGUUGCUCGGAAUCACUGGGCGUAAAGGGUGCGUAGGCGGGUUUUUUAAGUCAGAGGUGAAAUCCUGGAGCUCAACUCCAGAACUGCCUUUGAUACUGAAAGUCUUGAGUAUGGGAGAGGUGAGUGGAACUGCGAGUGUAGAGGUGAAAUUCGUAGAUAUUCGCAAGAACACCAGUGGCGAAGGCGGCUCACUGGCCCAUUACUGACGCUGAGGCACGAAAGCGUGGGGAGCAAACAGG